rnacentral:rRNA from 1 species
AGCCCGGCACGCCGACGCCGUCUGGUGGAUAGCUCGGCUUGAACGCUGAGGAAGGGCGCGGCAAGCUGCGAUAAGCCCCGGGUAGGCGCAUGCAGCCUUCGAUCCGGGGAUUCCCGAAUGGGACUUCCCAUCGCAGAGUUAAUGCUCUGCGAUGCUCCCAAGUAGGGAGUGGAAACCCCCCGAACGGAAACAUCUUAUUAGGGGGAGGAAGAGAAACCAACAGGGAUCCCCUAAGUAGCGGCGAGCGAAAGGGGGAGAGUCUAAACUGAACCUUAUGGGGAAACCCAUGGGGGAUGUAGCGUAGUGGGCCCGGUCGCCUCCUCCUUGGCGAAGCUGAAGUGGCCUGGAAUGGUCCGCCGUAGAGGGUGAAAGCCCCGUAGGCGUAAGCCGAGUGGAGCUGGACCGGUGUCCCGGAGUACCAUACCCCGGUUUGGGUAUGGGAAACUGGGAGCCAUC